UACCAGCUCCUCGAGUGGUUGGGACGAUUAUUGGGUCUAAAGCGUCCGUAGCCGGCCGGAAAAGUUUUCCGUUAAAUCCAACGAUCCAAUCGUUGGGCUGCGGGGAAUACUCUUCGGCUUGGGGGCGAGGGAGGUCGGCGGUAGUCUCGGGGUAGGGGCGAAAUCCUAUAAUCCCGAGAGGACCACCAGUGGCGAAGGCGGCCGACUAAAGCGCGCCCGACGGUGAGGGACGAAAGCUGGGGGAGCGAACGGGAUUAGAUACCCCGGUAGUCCCAGCUGUAAACGAUGCAGGCUAGGUGUUGGGACGGCUACGAGCUGUCCCAGUGCCGCAGGGAAGCCAUUAAGCCUGCCACCUGGGGAGUACGGUCGCAAGGCUGAAUUCUCUUUGAGCAUUUGCUCAAGGGACAGUUGACUUAAAGGAAUUGGCGGGGGAGCACCACAAGGGGUGAAGCUUGCGGUUUAAUUGGAGUCAACACCGGGAAACUUACCAGGAGCGACAGUUGGAUGAAGGUCAGACUAAAGGUCUUACCGGACUAGCUGAGAGGAGGUGCAUGGCCGUCGACAGUUCGUGCCGUGAGGUGUUCUCUUAAGUGAGACAACGAACGAGACCCGUACCCUUAGUUGCCAUCGGAUUCCCUCGGGAUUCCAGGCACACUAAUGGGACUGCCCACGCUAAGUGGGAGGAAGGAGCGGGCCACGGCAGGUCAGUAUGCCCCAGAUCUCCUGGGCCACACGCGAGCUGCAAUGGAUGGGACAAUGGGAUCCGACCUCGAGAGAGGAAGGCAAUCUUCAAACCCAUCCUCAGUUGGGAUCGAGGGCUGUAACCCGCCCUCGUGAACAUGGAAUCCCUAGUAAUCGCGUGUCAUCAUCGCGCGGUGAAUACGUCCCUGCUCCU
rnacentral:rRNA from 1 species